UCUUUUUUUUUCUAAUUGGUAUCAAAGGUGCUUAGGUUGUGAGCAAUGGUAUUGACGGCUGUCACAUAAUACCCGAAGGUAUGUCUUAGGAGAGGGAGGAAAAUGGCAUGAAUAAAAGGGUAACAGCUUAAAAAGUGUCUCUUCUUCCAUUGCUUAGUUCUGAAUCGAGACAUUUAAAAAGGAGAAAAGUUUUGAUAAUGUUGCAGCUUUCUACUACUGGCUUACACUGCCUUUUCAGCUGCCCUCCCAGCACUAAUUGUAUUCUCCCAUUGGAACUGGGUGACGUGCAAUUUUCAGCACAGGGCAGCAGGCAGUGGUUUGGAGUGCAGGUUUUUAAGCAGUCCUGUUGAAAUGGAUGUCGCUCUGGGUCACAGUGUAACGCUGUAAACAGCAGCACAAAACAUGUGCUAUCUGGACUGUUACCUGGUGUUGCCUGUAGGACUUGACUUUCAAUCGGAGGUUCUUUAAGCCCUUAAAAGCACAGGGAGGAAGAAUGCUGACAUGGCAAUCUGGGUCUGCUUUAUGUUCUACCAUCGCUUAUUUUCUUGGCUGCCUCUAUGCAAUCUGUGGGGAAAAAUAAUAAUUAUAUAAAAUACUUACAAGAUACAGUGUUGUUCAUGCCUCAAAGAAACAUGCCUGACUGCAGCUCUUACUGGGAGCCCCACCACACCAAUGGUUAAGAACACCAGUUCUGUCAGUGGGUUUGCCAGCUGCCCCAUUCCUCAGCCUGGAUCUCCACUUUGCUCUGUGUGUUAAUGCUGUGUUUUUUUGUUCCUGUGUGUCUAGAAAGGAAUGCAGUGCCUGGGUUAGGUAGCUCACAUCCUUAAUAAGCCGUGACAGCUGAUAUGAUGCUAGGUGCAGCAUAUAAAAGCAUCACAGUUUCACAGCUGCAUCCCACUUUUGAAAGCAAAUCAAUAGAAAUGAUGUUACUUUGUCACUUAUGCUUGUUUUAUGAUCAACUUGCACAAUUCUUCUUCUCACCUGACAGAGGUGUCCAUUGGUACAACGUGUAUGGAGUUCCACAGGAAUUGUGUUCUACUGUGUCCUGGAGAGGUAAUGAGAGACCAAAUAAUGCCCUAGCUGCAGAUAUUCAGAUUGUUUGCACAUGCUGAGCUAUCACAUAGCCCUGUUAGAAGAAAGCGAUAAGUGUUUCUUGCAUCAGACAACCUUUCUCUGUAUUUCACUCUAAGCUUUAGAUUAGCCUUUCACAACAUACAAAAUACAUCUCCUGUGGUUUCUGUGGGAAUGAGUACAAAGAUUUAGUAGAAGAAAUGGACUAAGAUAAUGGUAGUUUGAUUCUUCAGCCUCUUGAUGAAGAAACUUCCCUGGAACAGUUACUCAAUUUUAGUAUUAUUUUCCCUAGAGAAAAAGAAUUGAAAAUCACAUUAAGAGAUCAGCUUCAGCAAAAGGAUAAACUUUUAAUUGGAACAAACACCUUUUGAGUUCUAACCAAAGUUCAAAUAGCUCUGUGUCCAAAAUAUGUAUUAUACUAGAGGUCUUUAACCCCAUAUUGAAUAUCUGAAGCUCCGUGUUUCAUAUAAAUAUAUUUAUAUAUCAUAUAAAGCCUAUUUUUAAUAUGACAGUGAUAGACUUUAUCAUGGGCUGCAUGUCACUGGAUGCUAGUCCUGCUGUGGGGGAAGUAGGACAGCUGCUACAGAGCCCUUUCUUGCUCAGAAGUUGUUAGUAAUAAGCAGUUGGCCACUGUUUCUCUCCUACCUUUUCCCAGGCAGCCUGUAGAAAGAUGCCUGACAAAGCGGUCAUGAAAAACAAGGGUAAUAUUUGAAUAUGAGAAAUUACUUUGUGAGUAGGAGCAGCACAGCUCCGUGGAUUUCAUUAUGAACCCGAUUAAGAUAAGGUUACUCAGAAAAACUAAAAACAAAACAGGCUAUUGUGGUAGGCCAUGGUUACACAGUUUAAUCAGGAACCUGUGAACUGUUAGGUGAGAAGGAGCAUUAACAACAGAAUGAAUAAUGUAGGUUUACGUGCUUUUAAAGCAGAACAAGAUUGUUCUAACUUCUACAUGGACUUAUCAUUACUUUUUCAGAAGGAAAUGAUACUGAGGAUUUGAGUAUGGCCAAGUUGAAAGACGUGGCUGAGAAAGGGAGUAUUGAGGUUUGGGGUAGAAAAUAUGUUGAAGAAAGGUUUGAUAUAUUGAAGGAUGUAAGCACUUCGUGCUUCCUGAAGUGCCACUGCUAAACUCUUAAGUUGUUUAAAGGUUUAUAUGAGGAAAGCAAAUGCUACAAAAGAAAGUGAACCAAAUCUUCAUUAUUAACAUGCUGUUGCACAAGUAUUUUUCUCAGCACGCUUAUGUAUUAGCAGUAUCAUUUCCCACAGCCAAGUUCAUAAAAGUGAGUGGGAAGAGGACAGCAAUUAGACAAUCUCUCUGACUCUUACAGGAUUAAAAACUUCCUGUGCAGACAGACAGCUGAAAUACAGCUCCUAUUGAAAUGAAUGCUAGAACUCCUAAUGACUUUCAGGGAGCCCAUAAUGAUUUGUCUGACUGCUUGCUCAUUUGGUCUAUCUUGAUUUAUCUCAGGUUUGCUCUUCCUUUGUGUACUUAUUGCUCUUGAUGCAGCCUAUCAAACCACGCAGUCCCCUAUGAUAGCUCUGUAGAGAUAUAUUUAAUUUGAUUUGCUGCUGUCCCCAGGAGUUUAUUCGCUGUCAAACAGCUGCCUGUUGCAGUGAAACUUCAAUAUAAGAGAGCAUAAUGGUUUACGGAUAGAGCAUUUAACAACCACCACUGAAUGGCAUAUGUCUGAUAAAUAUGUUCAGAACAUAGUUGUGGAAUAUGCAAAGGCCACUGUUCUGGAACACUUACAAGGAUACAGCUAAAAAUGCAACAGAGCAGAGAGUUAUCUGACAAACUUAUUCAUGAGUUUACAAACCCCUCUGCUCUUUGGAUGCUUUCAUGCUGUACAUUUUAGUCCACUACUUCUAAUCAGGUUCUUACUGUAAGGAUAAGGUAGGUUCAGUAUAUGUGCCUGUGCUUUGUUACUUUGCAAUUCUUCAUAUUCCUCCAUCACUGCUUGUUGUUCUUUUUUUUCCCCUCCAAUUCAAAAGAUGAAAUAAAAUCUAUGUUAACAGCGAGUUAACUGAGGCUGCUGGAGCGAAAAGGACAAAGAAAUGCACAUCAUUUGCAUGUGUUAAUAGGAAUAAGGAAGCUGAAAAAAAACAGACUGUGCCCGUACUCCAUCACUGCCAGCACAGCCGCUUGGAGCUGCCCCGAUGCUGAUCUACUGACGCUGGCUUUGUGCCACAGUACGUCCCGUGAAGUGAAGCCCUGCCCUUGGUGAAAGUCCUUUGAUAUUAAUUUCAAUAGGGCCUGCAUUUCAUCCACUUGUGUUAACGGAGUAAUUAAUUUCUAUUAUUCCCAUUUGUAUGUUGCUUCCCACGCGCUCUCAGGAUCAUAGAGAUGAGCCGUAAAACUGAAAAUGGAAACACUGGAGCAUCGUGUUAGAAGGACAUUUUCAACUGGACGUUAAGAUGUUACCUUUAAACCUUUACUCACGUUGAUGGGUGUGGGAUGCCACAUGCUCUGAAAGCUUGCUUGCCCACUCUCUUCCCUUCAUCUGCUACCCACUCACACUGCUCCUCAUCCCUUCAGGCCGUUACCUCUCCCCUCAGUCCUUCCAGCUCAAUGGCUGUAAGGAGUAAAAUAACUAAUAUAUCCCAUAAUAUAUGGCAGUGCUCCAAAGUCCUCCUUGGCAUUUGAACAAUUAGAGCCUCACUGCGAGAAAAGCAUUUCCCAGAGCAGCAAAGGAAGCAUGUCGGAUGGGAUGCCGGGAUCCAGCAAGACAAUACCACAGGAACAAAGUGAGUAAACAAGCCCUUCUCAUCCAGUAAGUGUGCUUGCCCUGUGGAUCAAGUCCUGCCUUCACACAGGGCUGAGAAGAUGGUUUGUGUCUACAGGGAACUUUCUGAAGCUUCAAGUGUGUGUGAUUGAAUUCAAGUUUGCCUUGAUGCCCUGAUGGCUUCCCCCCAGUGUGGUUCUAUUGCUGUUUGGCCCCAGUCUUUGCUAUUCUCCUGCAGUUGAUUUACAGAUGGGAUUUCUGAAAUGUACAUCCAUCCAGUUCCUCAGGCAUGGAGGAAUUACCAACCCAUGGCUUAGGCACUCACCUGUGUUUCCCUUUUAAAAUGAUCUGAACAGAUGCAAAAAAGUCAGGCUUCAUUUUUGGGUCCCAGCAUCAUCUUUCUUGCUGCUCUUGGCACUCAUCUCACAGGAAUUUCAUUAGGGUGAGGAACAGAAAAAUAAUUCUUCACAUGCUGUCAAUCAAGUGACUGACUUAUAUCACAAUCUCAGAUCGGCUCUUCAUGUGAAACUGUGGCACACUGCUGCAAAUUUCCAGGGAACUGCCCUUUUUCAAGAGGAAAAAAAGAAAGGAGAAAUGAUAUUUGCCUUCUCUCACUUGGGUAUGCAUGUACACAGCAAGUGCAUUUUGUAAGCUUGUCCUGUGAGAGGCAGGCUGGCGGGGAGUGCUCAUACGUGUUCUAGCAAUAAGAGGCAUGGCAUAUUUUGCAGGAAAAUUUGCAGAAUGACUCUAAUCCAAGUAAAUCUGAAAACAGUCACAAUCUUUAAAGGGUUUAAGGUCCUAACCCAGCUCUUCUUUCAUAAUAUCUGGAGAAAAAGCUGUUGGAAAAUGGUAUAAAAAAUAAAUACCCACACAAGAAUAAAGGAGAUGGAAAAUACCUAAGAAUAAUUAAAUAAGCAGUACUUCAGAUAGUGGAUCUCUUCUGUAUAAUGGUAAUGAACAGUUCGUCUGUAAAGUUAGCAUAUUUAAUCAGUUUUAUGGAUAUGUGCACACCUCUGUGUGUGAUGUGCUGAUGGUCUGUGCUCUUUCAGUUAUGUUUUGUGCCUUGGGAUGAAGGUGCUUGUCUGUUUCUUGAUGAGUACAGAAGCUUCAGGAUGUAGCAGAGAGGUCCUGGGAACGUUUCAGAAUAACAACAACAGUAUCGAUAGAGAAGAGGAAGCAAAAGGUGACUGCAGGAGAAAACCAGAUUAAAGGGAAAGUUAUCACAGGCCUCACUUCUGCUGGGUCAGUGUCAGUCUGCCCUGGAUGUCCUUGAAGUUUUUCCUGAUGAAUUUGAAAUCACAGGUGUUGUUUUUUGUGUGUGCGUGCACAAACAAGGAAUGCAUGCAUUUUUAAACAGUGUGUUGUUUUGUCUGGGUGUGCUGUUCUGUGAGGGGAGUUUUGCUGUGCAUUCAGGGUGGGCAAAGACUCCAGUUAGAUAAGUAUGCAGCCUGAGAAGUACUGCUUGAAGAGGAAAACAAAAGAAAACCAGGGGCCAAAACAAAAGCCUAUCAAAAAUUAUAGUAACUUGAGGAUGUGUGUAUACAUUCAGAUGCUGUACAUUUACUGCAGGUUACUAUUGGAGUGAUCUGAGUUAUAUUUUGAAGCUUUUCUUAUUAAUAGAGAAGCGUGGAGGAAUGUAAUAUGUUUAGCUUGUCAGAACACCAGCUAGAGGGUGAAAAUCAGAGGAUUUAGCACCACCUCAUUGAUUCAGUGGGACUUCAGCAGCUUAGCCUGGCUGGAAUAUAACCCAGUAAGUGUAAAAAAAAAAAACAACCAAAACAACAAAAAACAAACAAAAAAAACAACAUUAAGCCACAUAAAGAGAUGAAGUUAAGCAGCAUGAAGCUUGUUUUUGCAAUCCUUCUUUAAGUGCUUGGGGUUGCUUUUUUAUGAGUGAAGGAAUUUUGUCUUGAAAUUUGUCCAGAGUGAUGGGGAAUAGCUGAGCAGAGAAAUUAUGAGAAGCCCAAAAUGUAAACAUAAAUAAAAUUUCAAGCCUUAGUUUUUCUCACUAAUUACCCCCUCAAGAAUCCAGUGUCUGGUUGUUCCCUUCUUUCUGUUCCAGGGCAGCACUUUGUUGGAAGCUAUCUAUAUGAAAGUAUGCACGCUACCUGUUUAUAGGUUUUUUCCUCCAGUAAGGUCCCAUAAUUCUUCCUAAUCUACUUAAAGGAUUUAGCCAAAGUAUUAACAUGAGCCAGAAGGGAUAAUGUUGUUAUUCUAUCAUAGAAUAACAUGAAUAUCCUUUAAUAUAGGUAGUGUUUGUGGUCCAUACUUCAACUCUUCUAUAUUUUACCACUUCCUUUUCUUUCCCUGCUCUUUAUUUUCACUUCAGCAGUAGAUCAGUUAUUUCCAUCUCUGCUUAGUCAGAUGAUCAAUAAUUCAAUAUGCAAUAUUUCCCAAAGAAACCCCUAAGGAUGCCUGUGAGGUCAAUGCACAGACUGUCGAGGGAUCUUUCAGUCUUUACUUUUAGCCAGCUCUGGUGCAGUGAGCAUGUGCCAAGUCUUAAGCCAAUGAGUGGUUUCCUCUCUUUGACUUACUGAUGAACCCUGGUGACUUAGGGCUACAGCUUCUAUCAAUGUUGUAUCCCAUUAUAUCGCACAAAUCCGCCUCCACUGUCAGUACUCUAAGCUAGGCAGAUGUGGGCUAGCUCCAUUUUGGAAACUGUACAUGUAUAUUAAUGAAGGGAUUGGUUGGAGCUCAUAAGCUUUGUUGAUAAGCUAACUAGGGCACGAGUCUGGACCCAUGUGUUUGAGCAGGCUGACGUCCUACCAGCUACAACACAGGCAAUCCAUGGCUGCCAUCCCUUCACCUCCCCCAAGGGGAGAUGAUCAGAGGGGACAAACAAUGAAGCCAGCGUCAGCGUGCACAGAAGAGAGCCAGGGCUCUGACAGAUCUCCUCUGCCAGCACCUCCAGGCCAAGAGCUCAAGUUUGAGUCACAUCCUUUGCACACCCUGGAGAUACGCUGACAAUAGUCAUCCUAAUACAGCAUUAGACUGAUGUUGAACUGGGAAAGCUCUAGGUCGGUAGGCACUAAGGUUUCCUGAUCCAUCAGGAAUUUUUAGGACAUUUUGAGAGGCAGGAAAUACAUUUCUGCUUCAUUUCAAUGCCUCUGCAAAAGAUUUACCAUAAUCCUUGUUUGCAAUUGACAAUUCUGGCCAAUGAUUCUAAGGUUUGAUUUGGCAACUGAAUUUAUAAAAUAAUGAACGUAAUCCUUCCAUCCUCCACUGAACAGCUGGUGCUAACUUAUUAAACAGCAACCUCAUUCUGCACUAACUUUUGUUGGAUUUUUAGCUAUCCCACCCUCUGAAUGGCAUGUUUACUCAAUAUUCUUUCUUUCUUCUGUAUUUCCACUAGCCUUUCUUCUAUUUACUUAUCUGCAUUUCAGUACCUACUCUUCUGUAUGAUGUUAGGAUGCAUCACUUCAUGUAGUAUUACCUUUCAUCUAAAGCCUACUAUUGACCCAAACGCUGUCAUCCUUCUUGACUUCUCACUCUAUGAUGCUUCCGAACCACUUUUAAGAUCAACAAUUUGCAACCCUUUCUACCUGAUCUCCCGCUGCUACCGCUCCGUGUUUGAAAACUUCUCAUUUUCUUGUUAUGCCGCACCUCCUCAUUGCUGUCUGCCAGCCCAUCUGCUCACUUUGCUUUGAGACCUGUCUGUUCUGUAUGCAUUUUUAUUCACAGAGUAUGUGCUAGUGUCAUUGGUCCUCCGUGACACAGCGGAUGCUUAGGGAGCCUUGGCAUUCAGCUUUCCCCAGAUAAGAUCAGCUUGUAUGGCUAUCUUACUUAAAACUGGGUAUAGUAGUCAUGUGAAGAGAGAGUCCUGCAGUUAGUGCAUGCAACCACUCCAGUAAUCAGCCCAUACAACAGAGAUUUAUCCUAAUGGAAGGACUUUGCAUCACACUGGAUUCUCUCUUCCUACUACUGCAGCUUUAGCCAUAAUGCGUAGUUCAAUUUACUACUUCUUGACUAAACGGUUCUUCCAUGCAUUAAGACAAAAUAAAAAGAGGUGUAAAAGUGCUGUUUAAUGGUUUCCCUAUAACAGCAUUAGUGUGGGUGCAAGUGUCUCACUAAAUACAUAAAUGUAGAUAAUCCUUUCUUUCUAGCUCUCUUCUCUCAGGCUACAUUUUUUUUCCUUUAUAACUCAUCCCUGGAGAAAUGUUCACAGUGAAAAAUCAUUGCUAACUUCAUUUUUCUUGCCUUCCCUAUGAAUUUCUUUCCUGGAGCAAUAAUAAGAAAUAAUGGGUGCAGUGCUUUCCUACAGAGUCUAUGGUAUAUAACAAAUAGUCUGGUGUUUUAUUUGUUGUUGCCGUAUUUAAUUUAAGCGUAUUAAUUUUUCUCCUUGGCUUAUCUAUUUUCUUCCUAAGUGCAGAGGGCCUUCCAAACCUCUUGGUAAUGUCACUUUAGGAACCAGAUUGGCUUUGUAGUUAUAUGUGGAAACUAAGAUUCUGGACUCAAGUCUCACCUGCUUCCUUUCUGGAUUAACUUCAACAGUUCCCCUUUUUCUUGAGCAAUCACCAGUGACAAGUUGUAGGCGUCCAGCUUAAUGAACCAACUGUAAACCAAUAUCAAUCAGAGUCUAUGACAGAAGAAGAGAGAUGUUUUCUUGGUGACUCUGGAAAGAAGAACAGCUGACCCACAGAAAUCAGUCUUGCUGGUCUUAAUCCCUGUAUGUCUCAAUUUACCUUUUUGUAAAAUGGUUGCAAUAUCUAAUUCACAAGGAAGGAGUGCUCAGUCUAUUCAAAGUUUAUGAAACACUGCACAGCUCUGACUGGAUUGCAUUUGCUGAGUGUUAAGUUAAAUGACAAUAUUAUUUUCUGUCAUUGUGCUACUGCUCUGCUUAGAACAGAUUAGGGAAAAGCGGCUGGGUGGGCAGAUUCACUUUUUAUAUCUGAGCAAAUUUAGCAAAUCCAAAGACAGAAAGAUUUCCUUAGUUACAUCUUUGUGACCCUGUUUUCUUCAUUAAUUCACAGUUAGAAAGAGAGACGUUUGCAUUAUAAAUGGAAUCACUAAUAACAGCGUUCAUUAUCAGUCUGUAGGUUCAUCGUUUUGACAAGCAAGGAUUCUCAUUAAGCAAGGGUAGGAAAACAGAGACUGCAGAAGCUUGGUUUGCACCAUCUGGACUGAACUUGCUCUGUUGAGCCAGUCUCUGUGCACUGGGAUGGAGGGAUGAAGCAGAGCAGCCUGUGAUCUCUCCAGCUGAGCAAUGCAGGCUCAGAACACAAUUCAUCCUCGUUCAAGCGGCACUCAGGUUCAGUUCUACAGAACCACUAUAAACACAGAAUCAUUGGGUGAGCUUCAUCCAGCAUAGUGGAGCUUCCAUUCCAUGGACAGAUGCUGUUUGAAGGAACACUGAGAUUCUGGAGUGAAAGCUGCUAUAUGACUUCAAAACAUGGUUGAACAAGAAGUGGAGCAGCCUAAUGAAGUGUGGAUCCAGCUACUGGAGACUUUAAAAAUGUAAAGAAUUUUUUCUCUGGUAUUCAAAAUCUAGGUGACCUGUCAGGCCCUUAUAGAUUGCUCCUAAACUCCAAGUGGAUGCCCAACAAGCAGGGCAGCAGUACAAGCAGGGAAACCUGAGGUGUUCAUCUGCAGCACAGCACAGUGUUUAUGAAGAAUACUGAUUUAUUUCUUUCUUUUCAGCUUCCAUUCCAGUUGGGAAGUUUACCUAGCCAGCUUAAUUUGUCUUUUCAGGUGGUUCUCACAUUACGUUCUUUUGAUGGCUGCAGAUUGUAGUGCAAUUAUAGUUUACAUUGUAUGAAAUUACUAUCAUACUUUAUAAUCUUUUCAUUUCUAUAUUUACUCUCGCGGCUGCAAACAAAAAUAAAGACUGGCUUUCUUUUCUUGGAGAAAAUUAAAUGUGUGUUA